rnacentral:rRNA from 1 species
CUACGGGAGGCUGCAGUGGGGAAUAUUGGACAAUGGGGGAAACCCUGAUCCAGCAAUGCCGCGUGUGUGAAGAAGGCCUGCGGGUUGUAAAGCACUUUCGGUUGGGAGGACUGCUUCUAGCACUAAUAUUGUUGGAAGUUGACGUUACCUUCAGAAGAAGCACCGGCUAGACUCCGUGCCAGCAGCCGCGGUACUACGGAGGGUGCAAGCGUUAAUCGGAAUUACUGGGCGUAAAGCGCGCGUAGGCGGCUAGAUCAGUCGGGUGUGAAAGCCCCGGGCUUAACCUGGGAACUGCAUCCGAUACUGUCUAGCUUGAGUACAGGAGAGGAGAGUGGAAUUCCACAUGUAGCGGUGACAUGCGUAGAUAUGUGGAGGAACACCAAUGGCGAAGGCAGCUCUCUGGCCUGAUACUGACGCUGAGGUGCGAAAGCGUGGGGAGCAAACAGGAUUAGAUACCCCUGUAGUC